UACGGAGGAUGCAAGCGUUAUCCGGAAUGAUUGGGCGUAAAGGGUCCGCAGGUGGCAAUUUGUGUCUGCUGUCAAAGAAUGAGGCUUAACCUCAUCAAGGCAGUGGAAACUACAUAGCUAGAGUACGGUCGGGGUAGAAGGAAUUCCUGGUGUAGCGGUGAAAUGCGUAGAGAUCAGGAAGAACACCGGUGGCGAAAGCGUUCUGCUAGACCUGUACUGACACUGAGGGACGAAAGCUAGGGGAGCGAAUGGG
rnacentral:rRNA from 1 species